CUCCAUUAGAGGAGGGGGGUGUCUGCGUUCUGACUGAAUUUACUUUUCACAAAGCUUUUAUGACAUUAUACAUUAAUCUUUUACCUGGCCAUUUUUAAAUCUUUAGUCUUUCAAGUAAACUUUAGGAUGAUAUUCUCACUAGGUUGGCUUUGGGAGAAAUGGGACCAAUAAUGCAUAUUUUCCAUGAGAAUUCUCUUCUGUAUAACUUUUUGCAAUUCAGGGAAACCUGUGUUAUUCUGAAAUUUUUCAAUUUUCUUAAGGCUAAUGUGUUUUCCUGUUAAUUUAUGUGUCUUGGGAAAAUGUUUUUAACUGAGAAUGAGUCUUAUUGCCUUUAUUAGGUGAGUUGCAUCUCGAAAAGCACAAACUGGAUUAGAAGAGACUCAGCCUUUGACCACAACAGACCUGCUCAUGUGCAUUGCUACAGAGUGACAUUAGGGCUUGUCUGUGUCUGCCUGGGGACAUAGUCUCCCUAGGUGUUUUUGGAAAUAUGGAAGCAUGCAUUCAGUUGUCACUGAUCCAGAAGGGGGUUAUUAUUGGCAUUGAGAUCCUCAGGGCCUAGAAGUGGAGGGUCUUGCAUGCCAUGUUAAAGAGUUUUGUAUUUCACUCUACCAGCAGUGGUGAGUAAUUGGAGGCUGAAAUUAUUUUGGGGAGAAGCUUAAUCUGAUGGUGAUGGAGGGCAACUAUCAGAGGCAAAGGCCAGGGACUAGGCAUCAGGUUAAAGGUGUAUAUAAUAACUGACACAAGCAGAAACAAGUUGUGUUUAGAAUUUGGGAAGGAAGAAGGACAGUUGGCUACAUCUGCCUCAAAUCCAUCUCAAAUAUUGCUGAAGGAACAAAGUGAUGUGUUUCAUAUUUUGGGAUAUGAAAGAAUGGGGUGCUGAGGCAAAGGAGAAGCUUUCUUAACACCAGGCGUAGCACAGAGGUAAGAGGUCUCUCCAAUCCCACCCUGUCUACACUCAUUCAGCUCUUGUUCUGACAGUCAUGGAAACAUUCUGUUCUUUCCUCAGUGCCUAAAAGUGAUCUGAACAUUACUCAAAUGCUUCCCUUCUUCAGGCCAAAGCAAAUCAAAUGUUGGUCCCCAGUGCAAGAAUAAAAUGUAUUAGUGACUUCUCUUCAGGCAGGAGUGUUAACAGAGCUACACAGAGAAGACAAACAGAUGCUUCAAAUGUCUCGGGAACUAAUUUGGAGUUCAGCUAUUUCAGGUCACAAUAUAAGAACACUAUGUUUUUUUUAAAACAGAACUUCUAUGAAUUCUGGCAAUUUAGUGAACAACACAUGUGAUAGAGAAAUCUGGAAAUCUUAAUUCCAAAUUAUUUCUCUCAGGGAUUUAGAUGGAUUAGUGAAUAAUUCAGCUCAGUUUUAAGAGGAGGUCCAGUAAUAUUUUCUAUAUGAGAUGUCUUCUAGAUAGUAACUUCCCUCAGAAUAGGAGAGAAGUCUUAAUCAUUUUGUGUAUCUUAGUGUCUAUCCUUGUACCUUGCUAAUAGUAGGUGCUCAAUAAGUAUUUAUUGAUUGAAUUGGUGAAGCUUGAGGAGUAUAUCCAGAAGCAAUAGUUUUCACUGUGGAAUACAUUAUUUAUGAACUGACAUGUUUCUUAUUCAGCCAGACAAAUCUCUUAAUUACACAAUGGUCUCUUGUUUUAAUCUGUAUUUUUUGUUAUUUUAACAGGUGUGCUUCAGCAGGGCACAGCAUUUAGCAAUUUAAAUUAAUUUAAAUUACUACCAUAUUCAGUAUUUGUGGCAAAGGAAGUCUCAUCAUUCUGACAAGGGCUGGAGCUGACAGUGUUUUGAGUUUAAAAUCCUUCUUAGAGAAGGAUAAUGUACACAAAUGCCUUGCUUAUAUUCCAAAAGAGGGUGGGUAGAACUGGGACCAUAGCCACAUUCAACAGAAGCCCUCUAUGUGCACAUUGGUUGAUUUCUAAUUGUGAAGCUCUUUAUUAGCUUAGUGAUAAUGUACACAAGUAUAUCUGUAUGUAAGGUAAGAUGUGUUUAGCACUACCUGUAUAAUUGCACAGGUGGUCAGUAUCGCUUAAUAAUUUGGGGACAUCUCUAGUUUCAUCAUUACUAGCUUACAGUAUUGCUAUCAAUUCCUAACCAUAACUUCAGUGUCCACAAUAGAAAUUCUGAACACAAAAUGAGCUUGGUGCAUUACAAAAAGCAUCACUUAGACUUUGUCAAUUUUCCUUCCUUCUGAUUAGAGGUUAGCUCUUGAAGGUAGUGCCUGGAUUAUAAACAACCAGCAUGUAGUUGUUGGGGGAGGCCCUCAGGUACUAUUCUGAGCUUAGUGUCAUGAGAACUCAAUGCAUUUUGAUGACACCUCUGAUUUUUGUCCCAAUGAGGUGGACUUGCUUCUGAGGUUUCCAUUUCAACAGUGUCACUAAGUGCAGGGUUUUUAUUACACUUUUGUUUGGAUCUGUAUAAUUUUAGAAUGUUGAUUAUUCAGAUUCUGGGAAAUGAAUGUCUAAGAGCAUGCACUUCCAAGUUUAAGUCUUGUUUCCACCAGUGAGGAGCCUAUGAUACUGGGCAAGUUAAAUAACCUCAGUAAGGCUUGGUUUCCUCACUUAAAAACAUGAGAGUAAUUAAUAAUGGUAGCUGCCUCAUCAGGCUGCCUGAAGGUUAAAGGAUAGAUUAAAAUGCUUGAGCAGCACUUAGUUUAGGAUCCUGCAGUUCAUAAUUGCUCAAUAAAUGUUAGCUAUUAUUAUUUACUUCUAGUAAGUCUACCAGCUCUUAUGCCAUUUAUCUCCAAUGGCAGAGAUGUCAAAUACUUUUGUAGAUAACAUUUUCAAGAGAUAAGUUACAUAGGGUUGGCUCAACCUUAGAAAUGCUGCAUAAGACUUGACCGAUCACUUUUUUCAGCUGAGAACUGGAAGGAGCAAAGCAUGUGACAGAGGGGUAGGCUGGGUGUGCAAUGCUGUAUUUCUCAACUAGAAGUUGAGCCCGUUCUAAUGUGAGCAGAAAAGGUAACCUGUGCAUUGAUGAAAUGACAUUGAUUCAGCAUAGAUAUGUGAACAGCUACUAAAUGUAAUCAGAUCUUAUGCAAAUCAAAUUCCUGGAGCAGCAUUUUAAUGACAACUCUCCUACAAGUAACACUUAUUUCAGUAUCCAAUUUAUGCUCAUUAAAUGAGCCCAAGUUUUUUUGCUAUCUCUAAAGAAAAACUGUUAAUAGGAACUCCAAGUCAGGUUUCAUACAUCUAUACCUCUUUCUGUGAUUCAUAUUUGAAUAGCAAAUAUAUAAAUAUCUUGUAAACCAAAAAUAAAAUUCUAAGGCCCUCCAACCAUUUGAAUGGCCCCUCUCCUCUCAGCCAAGGGCAUUCCAAAGUUAACGUGAAAAAGUAGUUCAGGCCAUGAUGGGAAGGC
rnacentral:lncRNA from 1 species